CUCUAAGGAGACUGCCGGUGACAAACCGGAGGAAGGUGGGGAUGACGUCAAGUCAUCAUGGCCCUUACGGCCUGGGCUACACACGUACUACAAUGGUCGGUACAGAGAGUUGCCAAGCCGCGAGGUGGAGCUAAUCUCACAAAACCGAUCGUAGUCCGGAUCGCAGUCUGCAACUCGACUGCGUGAAGUCGGAAUCGCUAGUAAUCAGCGAAUCAGAAUGUCAGCAGGUGAAUACGUUCCCGGGCCUUGUACACACCGCCACGUCACACCAUGGGAGUGGGUUGCACCAGAAGUAGCUAGUCUAACCUUCGGGAGGACAGGUUACCACGGUGUGAUUCAUGACUGGGGUGAAGUCGUAACAAUGGUAAU
rnacentral:rRNA from 1 species